rnacentral:rRNA from 1 species
GAUGAACGCUGGCGGCGUGCCUAAUACAUGCAAGUCGAGCGAACGGACGAGAAGCUUGCUUCUCUGAUGUUAGCGGCGGACGGGUGAGUAACACGUGGAUAACCUACCUAUAAGACUGGGAUAACUUCGGGAAACCGGAGCUAAUACCGGAUAAUAUUUUGAACCGCAUGGUUCAAAAGUGAAAGACGGUCUUGCUGUCACUUAUAGAUGGAUCCGCGCUGCAUUAGCUAGUUGGUAAGGUAACGGCUUACCAAGGCAACGAUGCAUAGCCGACCUGAGAGGGUGAUCGGCCACACUGGAACUGAGACACGGUCCAGACUCCUACGGGAGGCAGCAGUAGGGAAUCUUCCGCAAUGGGCGAAAGCCUGACGGAGCAACGCCGCGUGAGUGAUGAAGGUCUUCGGAUCGUAAAACUCUGUUAUUAGGGAAGAACAUAUGUGUAAGUAACUGUGCACAUCUUGACGGUACCUAAUCAGAAAGCCACGGCUAACUACGUGCCAGCGGCCGCGGUAAUACGUAGGUGGCAAGCGUUAUCCGGAAUUAUUGGGCGUAAAGCGCGCGUAGGCGGUUUUUUAAGUCUGAUGUGAAAGCCCACGGCUCAACCGUGGAGGGUCAUUGGAAACUGGAAAACUUGAGUGCAGAAGAGGAAAGUGGAAUUCCAUGUGUAGCGGUGAAAUGCGCAGAGAUAUGGAGGAACACCAGUGGCGAAGGCGACUUUCUGGUCUGUAACUGACGCUGAUGUGCGAAAGCGUGGGGAUCAAACAGGAUUAGAUACCCUGGUAGUCCACUCCGUAAACGAUGAGUGCUAAGUGUUAGGGGGUUUCCGCCCCUUAGUGCUGCAGCUAACGCAUUAAGCACUCCGCCUGGGGAGUACGACCGCAAGGUUGAAACUCAAAGGAAUUGACGGGGACCCGCACAAGCGGUGGAGCAUGUGGUUUAAUUCGAAGCAACGCGAAGAACCUUACCAAAUCUUGACAUCCUUUGACAACUCUAGAGAUAGAGCUUUCCCCUUCGGGGGACAAAGUGACAGGUGGUGCAUGGUUGUCGUCAGCUCGUGUCGUGAGAUGUUGGGUUAAGUCCCGCAACGAGCGCAACCCUUAAGCUUAGUUGCCAUCAUUAAGUUGGGCACUCUAAGUUGACUGCCGGUGACAAACCGGAGGAAGGUGGGGAUGACGUCAAAUCAUCAUGCCCCUUAUGAUUUGGGCUACACACGUGCUACAAUGGACAAUACAAAGGGCAGCGAAACCGUGAGGUCAAGCAAAUCCCAUAAAGUUGUUCUCAGUUCGGAUUGUAGUCUGCAACUCGACUACAUGAAGCUGGAAUCGCUAGUAAUCGUAGAUCAGCAUGCUACGGUGAAUACGUUCCCGGGUCU